rnacentral:rRNA from 1 species
GGGUGCAAGCGUUACUCGGAAUUACUGGGCGUAAAGCGUGCGUAGGUGGUUGUUUAAGUCUGUUGUGAAAGCCCUGGGCUCAACCUGGGAACUGCAGUGGAAACUGGACAACUAGAGUGUGGUAGAGGGUAGCGGAAUUCCCGGUGUAGCAGUGAAAUGCGUAGAGAUCGGGAGGAACAUCCAUGGCGAAGGCAGCUACCUGGACCAACACUGACACUGAGGCACGAAAGCGUGGGGAGCAAACAGGAUUAGAUACCCUGGUAGUCCACGCCCUAAACGAUGCGAACUGGAUGUUGGGUGCAAUUUGGCACGCAGUAUCGAAGCUAACGCGUUAAGUUCGCCGCCUGGGGAGUACGG